UUCCGGUCUGUAAAUUGUCGUUAACAUUGUUCUAAUUGAAACAAUUGCAUAUGGUUUUUAUAACAUAUACAUUGGUGCAAAAUGCAUACAAUAUUAACUGUUUUGUGUCUCAUGAAUUUAAGGAUUAUAUGUGCAUUUGAUCAUGACGAAACCCGUCAUUAUUUUGGACAAAACAGGGCUGUUCAACAUAUAUGGACAACAACUACUAUUGGGAAACAACAAACAUGUAAAUAUCAUAGAUAUUCAACACAUUCUUCAUUAGGACCAAUGCCAGACACAUGGUAUGCCGAUUCCAUGUGCUUUGUGACUUUCCAGUCAUAUAACCAAUACGGUUGUCUGUUAAUAGAUGCCGGUAAACCAGCUACAAUUACUUGCCCAUCUGAUACAGUACUCAUUAUUUACAACGUACUGUACGAAUAUAAUGGUAGAUGUCAAAAUGACAAAAGUUAUUAUUCUAAAAGAAAUUACUACAAACAUUGUAAAAAUGCGUUCGCAUGCAACAUUCCCACCAAACCAGUUUAUAAGCAGAAAGCAAGCAUCUAUUUUCAUUGCAGAGGUGUGUAUAUAAUAAAAACGAUAUAUAAGUAGAAGACCUUCUAUGUAGCUAAAUAUUAUCUAAAAAUCAAGUACCUCUGGAAUUCGUAUUAAACAUUUGACGUAGAUUUGAAAUAACACUUUACAAAGUGUGUACAUCCGAAGCGCUUUUCAUGAUUUAC